AAUAUUCAACGAGACUUGAGCAGUGGAAAGUCAUGUGAACAGCAGUUGAACAUGGUCAGUCGUCCUGAGAGAUAGCGAGCGCCGUCAGACGCAUGCCUCGGUGCCCUCGGCCGAUCGAAAGAGUCGGGUUCAGAUCCCCGAAUCCGGAGUGGCGGAGACGGGCGCCGCGAGGCGUCCCGUAGGUAAGCGUCCAGUG
rnacentral:rRNA from 1 species